UUAAGCGACUAAGCGUACACGGUGGAUGCCCUGGCAGUCAGAGGCGAUGAAGGACGUGCUAAUCUGCGAAAAGCGUCGGUAAGGUGAUAUGAACCGUUAUAACCGGCGAUGUCCGAAUGGGGAAACCCAGUGUGAUUCGUCACACUAUCGUUAACUGAAUACAUAGGUUAACGAGGCGAACCGGGGGAACUGAAACAUCUAAGUACCCCGAGGAAAAGAAAUCAACCGAGAUUCCCCCAGUAGCGGCGAGCGAACGGGGAGCAGCCCAGAGUCUGAAUCAGCUUGUGUGUUAGUGGAACGGUCUGGAAAGUCCGACGGUACAGGGUGAUAGUCCCGUACACCAAAAUGCACAGGCUGUGAACUCGAAGAGUAGGGCGGGACACGUGGUAUCCUGUCUGAAUAUGGGGGGACCAUCCUCCAAGGCUAAAUACUCCUGACUGACCGAUAGUGAACCAGUACCGUGAGGGAAAGGCGAAAAGAACCCCGGCGAGGGGAGUGAAAAAGAACCUGAAACCGUGUACGUACAAGCAGUGGGAGCACCUUCGGGUGUGACUGCGUACCUUUUGUAUAAUGGGUCAGCGACUUAUAUUCUGUAGCAAGGUUAACCGUAUAGGGGAGCCGCAGGGAAACCGAGUCUUAACUGGGCGUUAAGUUGCAGGGUAUAGACCCGAAACCCGGUGAUCUAGCCAUGGGCAGGUUGAAGGUUGGGUAACACUAACUGGAGGACCGAACCGACUAAUGUUGAAAAAUUAGCGGAUGACUUGUGGCUGGGGGUGAAAGGCCAAUCAAACCGGGAGAUAGCUGGUUCUCCCCGAAAGCUAUUUAGGUAGCGCCUCGUGAACUCAUCUUCGGGGGUAGAGCACUGUUUCGGCUAGGGGGUCAUCCCGACUUACCAACCCGAUGCAAACUACGAAUACCGAAGAAUGUUAUCACGGGAGACACACGGCGGGUGCUAACGUCCGUCGUGAAGAGGGAAACAACCCAGACCGCCAGCUAAGGUCCCAAAGUCAUGGUUAAGUGGGAAACGAUGUGGGAAGGCACAGACAGCCAGGAUGUUGGCUUAGAAGCAGCCAUCAUUUAAAGAAAGCGUAAUAGCUCACUGGUCGAGUCGGCCUGCGCGGAAGAUGUAACGGGGCUAAACCAUGCACCGAAGCUGCGGCAGCGACACUAUGUGUUGUUGGGUAGGGGAGCGUUCUGUAAGCCUGCGAAGGUGACCUGUGAGGGUUGCUGGAGGUAUCAGAAGUGCGAAUGCUGACAUAAGUAACGAUAAAGCGGGUGAAAAGCCCGCUCGCCGGAAGACCAAGGGUUCCUGUCCAACGUUAAUCGGGGCAGGGUGAGUCGACCCCUAAGGCGAGGCCGAAAGGCGUAGUCGAUGGGAAACAGGUUAAUAUUCCUGUACUUGGUGUUACUGCGAAGGGGGGACGGAGAAGGCUAUGUUAGCCGGGCGACGGUUGUCCCGGUUUAAGCAUGUAGGCUGGUUGUCCAGGCAAAUCCGGAUAAUCAAGGCUGAGGUGUGAUGACGAGGCACUACGGUGCUGAAGUAACAAAUGCCCUGCUUCCAGGAAAAGCCUCUAAGCAUCAGGUAACAUUAAAUCGUACCCCAAACCGACACAGGUGGUCAGGUAGAGAAUACCAAGGCGCUUGAGAGAACUCGGGUGAAGGAACUAGGCAAAAUGGUGCCGUAACUUCGGGAGAAGGCACGCUGGUGUGUAGGUGAAGUCCCUGCGGAUGGAGCUGAGACCAGUCGAAGAUACCAGCUGGCUGCAACUGUUUAUUAAAAACACAGCACUGUGCAAACACGAAAGUGGACGUAUACGGUGUGACGCCUGCCCGGUGCCGGAAGGUUAAUUGAUGGGGUUAUCCGUAAGGAGAAGCUCUUGAUCGAAGCCCCGGUAAACGGCGGCCGUAACUAUAACGGUCCUAAGGUAGCGAAAUUCCUUGUCGGGUAAGUUCCGACCUGCACGAAUGGCGUAAUGAUGGCCAGGCUGUCUCCACCCGAGACUCAGUGAAAUUGAACUCGCUGUGAAGAUGCAGUGUACCCGCGGCAAGACGGAAAGACCCCGUGAACCUUUACUAUAGCUUGACACUGAACAUUGAGCCUUGAUGUGUAGGAUAGGUGGGAGGCUUUGAAGCGUGGACGCCAGUCUGCGUGGAGCCAACCUUGAAAUACCACCCUUUAAUGUUUGAUGUUCUAACGUUGGCCCCUGACCGGGGUUGCGGACAGUGUCUGGUGGGUAGUUUGACUGGGGCGGUCUCCUCCCAAAGCGUAACGGAGGAGCACGAAGGUUAGCUAAUCCUGGUCGGACAUCAGGAGGUUAGUGCAAUGGCAUAAGCUAGCUUGACUGCGAGCGUGACGGCGCGAGCAGGUGCGAAAGCAGGUCAUAGUGAUCCGGUGGUUCUGAAUGGAAGGGCCAUCGCUCAACGGAUAAAAGGUACUCCGGGGAUAACAGGCUGAUACCGCCCAAGAGUUCAUAUCGACGGCGGUGUUUGGCACCUCGAUGUCGGCUCAUCACAUCCUGGGGCUGAAGUAGGUCCCAAGGGUAUGGCUGUUCGCCAUUUAAAGUGGUACGCGAGCUGGGUUUAGAACGUCGUGAGACAGUUCGGUCCCUAUCUGCCGUGGGCGCUGGAGAAUUGAGGGGGGCUGCUCCUAGUACGAGAGGACCGGAGUGGACGCAUCACUGGUGUUCGGGUUGUCAUGCCAAUGGCACUGCCCGGUAGCUAAAUGCGGAAGAGAUAAGUGCUGAAAGCAUCUAAGCACGAAACUUGCCCCGAGAUGAGUUCUCCCUGAGACUAUAAGUCUCCUGAAGGAACGUUAAAGACGAUGACGUUGAUAGGCCGGGUGUGUAAGCGCAGCGAUGCGUUGAGCUAACCGGUACUAAUGAACCGUGAGGCUUAACCUU
rnacentral:rRNA from 1 species